rnacentral:rRNA from 1 species
AGCGAACGCUGGCGGCAGGCCUAACACAUGCAAGUCGAACGGCAGCGCGGGGCAACCUGGCGGCGAGUGGCGAACGGGUGAGUAAUAUAUCGGAACGUACCCAGAAGUGGGGGAUAACGUAGCGAAAGUUACGCUAAUACCGCAUACGAUCUACGGAUGAAAGUGGGGGACCUUCGGGCCUCAUGCUUUUGGAGCGGCCGAUAUCUGAUUAGCUAGUUGGUGAGGUAAAGGCUCACCAA